UUUAUCAUCUACUCGAACUGAGGAAAACGUUUGACUAACUCAAAGAAAAUUUCCGCGCCUCCCCUGCCUGUCUGCAGAGGCAGUUUUGAAUUCAGGAGCGGCAUGAUGGCAGCGGCAAACCCUGGCGGUUCUCCGGGUUCGUGGCAACCACGGAUGGGAAAAUGUGGAGGUUGCACGGCUGAUGUUUACUGUUCGUGGCACAGGAAGAGGCAGUUUCAUUUCAGGAAUGAGUGUGCACAAUCAAAGAAUAGAGCGACUGUGGGGAGACCUCUGGGUGGCCGUUACAUGCAUUUACUACGAUGUUCUUCACAACCCUGAGGAAGAAGGCCUUCUUGACAUUUCAAAUGCUGCACACCUCUUUUGCUGCCAUUACAUCUUUCUUCCUCGACUAGAGGAUAAUUUUAAUACAUUUUGCAGUGGAUGGGACAACCAUCCACUGCGAACAGAAAACAACAUGAGUCCCCCAACCAGCUGUGGGAGUUGGGUCACAGAUAUUACCCUGUUCCUGUUCCAGAAAACACACAGCUUAUCACACAUUUGAUUUCCAUGUGUGACAACUGCAAGUGUCCAGAGUGAGGACAGACUGAGGGACCCACUGCUGCACAUCAUCUGUGAGGCUUUGCACCCCUGAUGAUCCACCAGGACAAACUCAGCAGUGUGUGAGGAAGAGGAGGAGGAAGAGCCAGCAGCAGCUGACAGAUGGAGAGAAUAGACAGACUGUUCCCUGUUUGUGAAGGACUGCUAGGAAAGUUUAACAUAACUAAUUAUCUGUCCUGAAUCAGUCUUAUUAGGUAAUGUUCAAAUAAUGUUAUCAUCCCAGUGUUUUCAGUGUGGGAGAAAGUACUCAGGGCCUUCAAGUUACACACUAUGAAAGGCAGCAACAAGUUUAAUGUUCAGAAACCUAAAGUAUGUAUCAGCAGCAGAAU